AAAAAGAGUUUUGUUGUGAGUGCCACAUGUAGGGCAGAUUGAUUGCUCUACAUGCUGAAUCGACAUCAAGAGAUUUCAAAAGCAUAAUUUUUUGGUAUCUGGGCAGCUGGUGAUCAUUGGUCCUGGUGCCUGA
rnacentral:snRNA from 1 species